GGCAAGAUGGCCGAGUGGUUAUGGCGGUGGUCUCAAGUCAAUGGUUCAAACAACCUCCCAACUUGCACUAGUAAAUAGUGAUGUAUGCCACUGGAGCAAUCCGCAGGGGUUCGAAUCCCCUUCUUGUCA